UAGUUAUAUUAAUUUUAAGAUCUGUAUACUUUUUGGUGAUGAUUCAAAAUUUUAUUUUUGAGUUAUUUAGUAUUUUGUAAAAAAGGGGGAGGGUAUUUUUACAUGUCACGCCGUAUCUCAAAAUCAAUUUAUGAUUAUUGCUUAAAACUUUACACACUUCUUUGUUAUAUUGAUCUUAAGAUCUGUAUACUUUUUGGUGAUGAUUUAAAAUUUCAUUUUUCAGUUAUUUAGUAUUUUGUAAAAAAGGGGGAGGGUAUUUUUACAUG
rnacentral:lncRNA from 1 species